rnacentral:tRNA from 1 species
GGGGUUGUGGCUUAGCGGUAGAGCGCUCACUUAGCAUGUGUGAGGCACUGGAUUCAAUCCUCAGCACCACA